UAACCAUGGCAACUAGAGCCGCGUACUUUUCCCCGUUGGAAGCACAAAUCCUCAUGGAGGCAUACGAGGAGGUAAAAGAUAUAAUUAAGAAGAAAGGCAACACCGCCACAGUGAUAAAGCAAAGAGAAAAAGCGUGGCAAAGUAUUGCAGACCGCCUGAAUGCGUAAGUAGUGCACAAUUACACACUCACCGCUCCGCUGAAACAUCACAAUUACAAUUCAAAUAUUUAAUUCACAUCUCCAAAAAUGCAGUUGUACUGUAAUUAUGAAACGGUUAAAUUUUUAAUUGAAAUGCACUGCAGAUAUGAGUGAAAUUGUGUAAAGUAACUCCAUCACACUGUAUAAAGCUAUGAUAAAUUUUUUGAUAUUUUUACUGAAAACAAGACAAAAAUACCAAGUAAUUUUUUGCAGUGUGACUCCAUUAAAUGUGUGUGUGUGUGUAGAUUAAACAUGAACGGGCCAAAACGGACAUGGCAGCAGGUCAAAAUCAAAUACAAGAACAUUCUGCAGAAUGGUAUGGUCCCUGACUAAUAUUUAACAAAGCACAAGCAUAUAUUGUACCCAGAAGGUGCCUGCUCACACAUUGUCUGUACUGUUUUAGCAGUGAAAAGAAUACCCACAGACAAGGCACGGGUGGUGGGUCACCAAAGGCUGACCUUACCCCAGCAGAGGACAUGGCCUUGGAGCUAAAUAAAGGCAGGCCCGUCUUAGAGGGGAUCCCUGGGGGAAAGAGACGAGCAUAGGUUCCUCCCAAGAUGCCACCCGCUUCAUUCAAGUGCCUGGCAGCACUGUGUUCCUGUUAGAGCCACCAGCACAAGCACCAGACGAUGCUGAUCCAGGUGAAGGCCCCAGUGCAGCAGCAACAGCACAUGAUGGAGACGAUGAUGAGGAGGAGACCAUCUCU